CAAUAGCGUGUAUUAAAUUGUUGUGGUUAAAAGCUCGUAAUUGGAUUUCUGCUGAGGACGACCGGUCCGCCUUCUGGGUGAGUAUCUGGCUUGGCCUUGGCAUCUUCUUGGAGAACGUAGCUGCACUUGAUUGUGUGGUGCGGUAUCCAAGACCUCUACUUUGAGGAAAUUAGAGUGUUUCAAACAGGCACACACCUUGAAUACAUUAGCAUGAAAAAAGACCUUGGUUUUAUUUUGUUGGUUUUUAGAGGUGAAGUAAUGAUUAAUAAGGAUAAUUAAGGCCAUUCGUAUUUAAUUGUCAAAGGUGAAAUUUGUGGAUUUGUUAAAGACUGAGUAUUGCGAAAGCAUUUGCCAAUGAUGUUUUCAUUCAUCAAGAACGAAAGUUAGAGGAUCGAAGACGAUCAGAUACCA
rnacentral:rRNA from 1 species